AACACCUUCGGGGAUGAAGGUCUGCCCAGCGUCUGCCCAGCCAGUGAAGUGCUCAGAGACACCCUGGAGGGACUCACCUUUGCUUCUCCGUGUCUGAAUUCACACAGUGAACUGCCUUCAGUGAACCAGCAAAGCCCUUUUGUGGGCGAAUCCAAUCUUUUUCCUCUCUUUCCUCUGCGCCCCACCUCUUUUUCCAAAAGGACUCAAGGGCCCGGCAGCCCUCACUCAAACUUGCUCUGUAGCAGAGGAAGACCUUGAACUCCUGAUCCUCCUGCCUCUACCAGGAUGACAGGCAUGUGCCCCGUGCUGGGGUGAGACCUGGGGCUUUGAGGAUGCCCAGCAAGUGCUCCCACAGUGCAGCCUCAUCCAUGCCAAGUUUGUUUUGAGACAGGACCUCACCAUGUAGGCCUGGCUUGCCUGGAACGCUCUAUGUCGACCAGAC